rnacentral:rRNA from 1 species
GACGAACGCUGGCGGCGUGCUUAACACAUGCAAGUCGAACGGAAAGGCCCUGCUUUUGUGGGGUGCUCGAGUGGCGAACGGGUGAGUAACACGUGAGUAACCUGCCCUUGACUUUGGGAUAACUUCAGGAAACUGGGGCUAAUACCGGAUAGGAGCUCCUGCUGCAUGGUGGGGGUUGGAAAGUUUCGGCGGUUGGGGAUGGACUCGCGGCUUAUCAGCUUGUUGGUGGGGUAGUGGCUUACCAAGGCUUUGACGGGUAGCCGGCCUGAGUGGGUGACCGGCCACAUUGGGACUGAGUUACGGCCCAGACUCCUACGGGAGGCAGCAGUGGGGAAUAUUGCACAUUGGGCGGAAGCCUGAUGCAGCAACGCCGCGUGCGGGAUGACGGCCUUCGGGUUGUAAACCGCUUCCGCCUGUGACGAAGCGUGAGUGACGGUAAUGGGUAAAGAAGCACCGGCUAACUACGUG